rnacentral:tRNA from 1 species
GGCCCUGUGGCGGAAUUGGUAGACGCAGCGGAUUCAAAAUCCGCCGCCUUCACCGGCGUGGGAGUUCGAGUCUCCCCGGGGCCACCA